rnacentral:rRNA from 1 species
GACGAACGCUGGCGGCGUGCUUAACACAUGCAAGUCGAGCGAUGAAACACCUUCGGGUGCGGAUUAGCGGCGAACGGGUGAGGAACACGUGAGGAAUCUGCCUUCCACUCUGGGAUAACUCCGGGAAACCGGGGCUAAUACCGGAUACUUUCAACUGGCGGCAUCGCCGGUUGAAGAAAGUUUUUCGGUGGAAGAUGACCUCGCGGCCUAUCAGCUUGUUGCUGAGGUAAAGGCUCACCAAGGCGACGACGGGUAGCCGGCCUGAGAGGGCGACCGGCCACACUGGGACUGAGACACGGCCCAGACUCCUACGGGAGACAGCAGUGGGGAAUAUUGGGCAAUGGAGGAAACUCUGACCCAGCGACGCCGCGUGAGGGAUGAAGGCCUUCGGGUUGUAAACCUCUUUCAGCAGGGAAUAAGCGAAAGUGAAGGUACCUGCAGAAGAAGCACCGGCUAACUAUGUGCCAGCAGCCGCCGUAA